AAGACCUUGCGCUUUUGGAGCGGCCGAUGCCUGAUUAGCUUGUUGGUAAGGUAAAAGCUUACCAAGGCUUCGAUCAGUAGCUGGUCUGAGAGGACGGCCAGCCACACUGGGACUGAGACACGGCCCAGACUCCUACGGGAGGCAGCAGUGGGGAAUUUUGGACAAUGGGGGAAACCCUGAUCCAGCCAUGCCGCGUGAGUGAAGAAGGCCUUCGGGUUGUAAAGCUCUUUCAGCCGGAACGAAACGGUUACGGUUAAUACCCGUGAUUACUGACGGUACCGGAAGAAGAAGCACCGGCUAACUACGUGCCAGCAGCCGCGGUAAUACGUAGGGUGCGAGCGUUAAUCGGAAUUACUGGGCGUAAAGCGUGCGCAGGUGGUUUUGUAAGUCAGAUGUGAAAGCCCCGGGCUCAACCUGGGAACU
rnacentral:rRNA from 1 species